rnacentral:rRNA from 1 species
GCUGAACGCUUUCUUCUUUCCUAAUACAUGCAAGUCGAGCGAACAGACGAGGAGCUUGCUCCUCUGACGUUAGCGGCGGACGGGUGUGUAACACGUGGAUAACCUACCUAUAAUACUGGGAUAACUUCGGGAAACCGGAGCUAAUACCGGAUAAUAUAUUGAACCGCAUGGUUCAAUAGUGAAAGACGGUUUUGCUGUCACUUAUAGAUGGAUCCGCGCCGCAUUAGCUCGUUGGUAAGGUAACGGCUUACCAAGGCAACGAUGCGUAGCCGACCCGAGGGGGGGAUAGGCCACACUGGAACUGAGACACGGUCCAGGCUCCUACGGGAGGCAGCAGUAGGGAAUCUUCGGCAAUGGGCGAAAGCCUGACGGAGCAACGCCGCGUGAGUGAUGAAGGUCUUCGGAUCGUAAAACUCUGAUAUUAGGGAAGAACAAAUGUGUAAGUAAAUAUGCACGUCUUGACGGUACCUAAUCAGAAAGCCAAGGCUAACUACGGG